CAGCCGCCACGGUAACACGUAGGUGGCAAGCGUUGUCCGGAAUUAUUGGGCGUAAAGGGCUCGCAGGCGGUUUCUUAAGUCUGAUGUGAAAGCCCCCGGCUCAACCGGGGAGGGUCAUUGGAAACUGGGAAACUUGAGUGCAGAAGAGGAGAGUGGAAUUCUACGUGUAGCGGUGAAAUGCGUAGAGAUGUGGAGGAACACCAGUGGCGAAGGCGACUCUCUGGUCUGUAACUGACGCUGAGGAGCGAAAGCGUGGGGAGCGAACAGGAUUAGAUACCCCAGUAGUCCCUGUCUCUUAUAC
rnacentral:rRNA from 1 species